rnacentral:rRNA from 1 species
AUUGAACGCUGGCGGCAGGCCUAACACAUGCAAGUCGAGCGGAUGAGUGGAGCUUGCUCCAUGAUUCAGCGGCGGACGGGUGAGUAAUGCCUAGGAAUCUGCCCUGGUAGUGGGGGACAACGUUUCGAAAGGAACGCUAAUACCGCAUACGUCCUACGGGAGAAAGCAGGGGGACCUUCGGGCCUUGCGCUAUCAGAUGAGCCUAGGUCGGAUUAGCUAGUAGGUGAGGUAAUGGCUCACCUAGGCGACGAUCCGUAACUGGUCUGAGAGGAUGAUCAGUCACACUGGAACUGAGACACGGUCCAGACUCCUACGGGAGCAGCAGUGGGGAAUAUUGGACAAUGGCGAAAGCCUGAUCCAGCCAUGCCGCGUGUGUG